ANCCGGAUUAGAUACCNUGGUAGUCCAUGCCGUAAACGAUGAGUGCUAAGUGUUGGAGGGUUUCCGCCCUUCAGUGCUGCAGCUAACGCAUUAAGCACUCCGCCUGAGGAGUACGACCGCAAGGUUGAAACUCAAAGGAAUUGACGGGGGCCCGCACAAGCGGUGGAGCAUGUGGUUUAAUUCGAUGCUACGCGAAGAACCUUACCAGGUCUUGACAUCUUCUGCCAACCUAAGAGAUUAGGCGUUCCCUUCGGGGACAGAAUGACAGGUGGUGCAUGGUUGUCGUCAGCUCGUGUCGUGAGAUGUUGGGUUAAGUCCCGCAACGAGCGCAACCCUUAUUGUUAGUUGCCAGCAUUCAGUUGGGCACUCUAGCAAGACUGCCGGUGACAAACCGGAGGAAGGUGGGGAUGACGUCAAAUCAUCAUGCCCCUUAUGACCUGGGCUACACACGUGCUACAAUGGACGGUACAACGAGUCGCGAAACCGCGAGGUCAAGCUAAUCUCUUAAAGCCGUUCUCAGUUCGGAUUGUAGGCUGCAACUCGCCUACAUGAAGUUGGAAUCGCUAGUAAUCGUGGAUCAGCAUGCCACGGUGAAUACGUUCCCGGGCCUUGUACACACCGCCCGUCACACCAUGAGAGUUUGUAACACCCAAAGCCGGUGAGGUAACCUUCGGGGACCAGCCGUCUAAGGUGGGACAGAUGAUUAGAGUGAAGUCGUAACAAGGUAACC
rnacentral:rRNA from 1 species